rnacentral:rRNA from 1 species
UGGGGAAUAUUGCACAAUGGGCGCAAGCCUGAUGCAGCGACGCCGCGUGGGGGAUGACGGCCUUCGGGUUGUAAACCUCUUUCAGCAGGGACGAAGCGCAAGUGACGGUACCUGCAGAAGAAGCACCGGCCAACUACGUGCCAGCAGCCGCGGUAAUACGUAGGGUGCGAGCGUUGUCCGGAAUUACUGGGCGUAAAGAGCUCGUAGGUGGUUUGUCGCGUUGUUCGUGAAAACCGGGGGCUUAACCCUCGGCGUGCGGGCGAUACGGGCAGACUGGAGUACUGCAGGGGAGACUGGAAUUCCUGGUGUAGCGGUGGAAUGCGCAGAUAUCAGGAGGAACACCGGUGGCGAAGGCGGGUCUCUGGGCAGUAACUGACGCUGAGGAGCGAAAGCGUGGGGAGCGAACAGGAUUAGAUACCCUGGUAGUCCACGCCGUAAACGGUGGGUACUAGGUGUGGGUUUCCUUCCUUGGGAUCCGUGCCGUAGCUAACGCAUUAAGUACCCCGCCUGGGGAGUACGGCCGCAAGGCUA